rnacentral:rRNA from 1 species
AUGUUAGCUCAACCGAUCAACUUCUUGAGCUGGAAUGUUAGGGGCCUUAACUGCCCGGAUAGGCGGUCCACAGUUAACGCAACCAUUGCUUCCUCGUCCUGCCAUGUGGUAUGUCUCCAGGAGACGAAGCUUGACAAUAUUGACCAGUUCACGGCCGCGUUUUUGGGGGGCCAUAGGUUAUGCAGCUUUGCGCAACGCCCGGCAAAUGGCACGAGGGGGGGCAUCCUCCUGCUUUGGGAUGAUCUCUUGCUGGAGAUGUCCAACAUCACCUUUACAACCUAUUGCCUCUCAGCCAUGGUUCGUGUCAGGGAUUCGGGCGUGCGAUUUAAGAUCACA